CUUCCCUCACUUCCUACCCCGGAGGAAACAUUUCACAUGCAUUGCUUUGCACCUUGUUCUUGCUGCUGAACAAUAUUACCUGAAGAUCACAGCAGGCCGCCUGGCACCCUGCAGGGAAGGGUUGCGCCGUAGUUAUUUCGGGCAUUUGAGUUUUCAAACCCAGGCACCUGCAAACACCACGCCGAUUCCUCAGCCAGGGCUUGUUUAUGUUUGUUUCGUGGGAACCCCGGCCAAAGGUGCAAGGUCCUUCCCCCCUUUCCUACAGCCCUGUUACACACCGGCUCCUUCCCACGGUCCUGCGUGCUCCUUCCCUGCCUCCCACGCGGCCAGCGUCGCUACUCACGUUUUGCAGGGGGGGAAACCGAGGAGCUGAGAAAUCAAGUCACACACCUAAAGGAACAACUGGAAAGUGAUGGAGUCGGGGGUGUGAACUCAGGCUCCAGACGGCGCUCCUGAGCCCAGAGAGGUACAGGGACUCGGUCAAGGUUGCACAGCAGCACACUGGCAGCUCCCAGGGGUGAGGUGUCACUUUGCCAUCAGCCGGACACCUGAGCUUUCCUGUAGGGGCACCGUGGGGAUGAAGUGACCUGUUUGCUGGAAACUGUGUGGCACUGUUCCCAGGUCUGUGAUUUCCAAGUUUUGCAGUGCACUCUUCUAGUACAGAAUCCCUGCUACGAGGCCCUGUGGGCUGCACUGCGGACAAGCACGGAUCUGCACAAUCAAUAGUAUGGAAAUCAACAAAGCCGUUGGUCUCCGGGUCACCCGUGGAGACAGGAAAAUGCAGUUGGAGACUGGUGACCACCCACAGCAGUUCCUGAAUUGGGCCAUCAGACCCACCAGCAGGGAGGUGAUCUUGCCUCUCCCUGCUGGACAGGCAGUCCCACUGGGGGACGGAGUGGCCAGGCUGGGUCAGCGGCUGACAGUCAUGCAAUGACCACAGCUUGGGGACAGCAAACCGCUUCGGAGCCUUGCAAUCUUGGCGGAGUCUGCCUGAAAAGAUGACAAUCUGUAGCUCUUCUGCCACCUCCCCUGUCUCCGCAAAUAAGGGUUGGGUCGUUAGCGUUUUAAUUUAUUUAUUUAUUAAUUUUUAAAGAGACAUUUCCCCUUUCUCUCCUCGGGUCUGGAGUCAUUAAACAGGGAUUAGCUGGAUAAAUAGAGGAAGUGAUUUUUAAACUGUUUGCAAACUUAAUGUGAAGAGCCCAGCCUUGCAAAUUAUCACGUCUAAUCAGAGGCCCUCGCUUCACUGCUCCAGUAAUUGUACUGGUAUUAGUCAAAUUCUUGUUGUCUCCUCAUUAGCCGUGAAAAGGAGACUCAAGAUGUACUUCAUUAGA